UAAGGAAUAUUGGUCAAUGGACGCAAGUCUGAACCAGCCAUGCCGCGUGGAGGAUGAAGGUCCUCUGGAUUGUAAACUUCUUUUAUCUGGGACGAAACACUUCUUUUCUAAGAGGCCUGACAGUACCAGAUGAAUAAGCACCGGCUAACUCCGUGCCAGCAGCCGCGGUAAUACGGAGGGUGCAAGCGUUAUCCGGAUUCACUGGGUUUAAAGGGUGCGUAGGUGGGUAUGUAAGUCAGUGGUGAAAUCCCCGAGCUUAACUUGGGAACUGCCAUUGAUACUAUAUAUCUUGAAUACCGUAGAGGUAAGCGGAAUAUGUCAUGUAGCGGUGAAAUGCUUAGAUAUGACAUGGAACACCAAUUGCGAAGGCAGCUUACUAUGCGGUGAUUGACACUGAGGCACGAAAGCGUGGGUAGCAAACA
rnacentral:rRNA from 1 species